AUCAGUAACAAUUAAAAAGAUUAAUACGACGUACAUAUAUCAUUUGAAAGAAAUUAUUACUGGAAAAAUUAAACAAGUGGCAGAGAGAUGAAUCGAUUUUUGGUGAUUAUAUAGUUGGCAUCUUGGAGAGUGAUGAAAUGCAUGAAUAAAAAGCAGAUACUUUACAGGAACUGUUAGGUGCAGUGGUGGGUGAUACAAGUUAAUUUUAGUUAAAAUGAUAUGAGGAAAAAGCACGAAAAAUAUAACCUGUUAACAAGGCACUCCAAUAUACAGAGGAAGAGCGUCAGACACAUAAUGUUGCUUGUAAAUCCUACCAAAACCGUUACUGUACCAUAUACAAUUUGGAAUAUCAUGACAUCAUGCGGCUUAUUGCUUAUUGCUUACAGCUGAUUAGGUCUAUUAAAUUAUGCGAUAUGGAGUCAAUGUCGUCACUAAAAUACUAGACCUGUCGGAUUCUGUAUCUGAUGUUUUUUUUCGCAUUUCAUACGAAUUACUAGUGCGAUGGAUGUUAAAAAGCUCAUGGAUGAAAUCGAAAUUUAUUUGACAAAAUGUAUGCUAUAAAAAGAAGGAAAUUAUUUUUAAUCCAUUUAAAUGUGGGCUUAAAAUUUCGAAUUUAGAUAAAAAAAAGACUUAAAUGGAAAGUAUUAUUAACGGGAAGUUUAACCAAAUAUGCACCUAUCCAAGAAGAAAUGUUUAUGCAAGGCGAAUAUAUGUUACAACCUCUCUAAUGACAAAUGAGAGUGAUUGUGAAAAUAAAAAAGAACAAUUUAAUUUACAAAGUAAAAAUGUACAUAUAUUUGUAUUUUAAAAUUUAUAUACAAUAUAUACAAUAUAACAAUAUUUAUGUCUCAUUUAGAUAUAACUGAACGACAUUACUGAGGAUAUUUUCUUAAUAAAAUAGAAUACU